rnacentral:rRNA from 1 species
GAGUUUGAUUAUGGCUCAGGAUGAACGCUGGCGGCGUGCUUAACACAUGCAAGUCGAACGGGCGAAUUAUAUCGGAGGUCUUCGGGCCGAAGAGAUAAUAAGCUAGUGGCGGACGGGUGCGUAACGUGUGGGUAAUCUGCCUUUGUCAUAGGAAUAACUGCUUGAAAAAGUAGCUAAUACCAAAUAACAUAUCGUAUAGGCAUCUAUAAGAUAUCAAAGAGAAAUCGGACAAAGAUGAGCCCGCAUCUGAUUAGCUGGUUGGUAGGGUAAAAGCCUACCAAGGCGACGAUCAGUAGCCGGCCUGAGAGGGUGAACGGCCACAUUGGAACUGAGACACGGUCCAAACUCCUACGGGAGGCAGCAGUGGGGAAUAUUGCACAAUGGGGGGAACCCUGAUGCAGCAACGCCGCGUGAGUGAAGAAGGCUUUCGAGUCGUAAAACUCUGUUGUAAGGGAAGAUAAUGACGUACCUAAAAGAAGCCCCG